rnacentral:rRNA from 1 species
CACGUAGUUAGCCGUGACUUUCUCACAGGGUACCGUCACUGUCUUCUUCCCCUGCGACAACAGUUUACAAUCCGAAGACCUUCUUCCUGCACGCGGCGUUGCUGCGUCAGGGUUGCCCCCAUUGCGCAAUAUUCCCCACUGCUGCCUCCCGUAGGAGUCUGGGCCGUGUCUCAGUCCCAAUGCGGCCGAUCAACCUCCCAGUUCGGCUACAGAUCGUCGCCUUGGUGAGCCCGUUACCUCACCAACCAGCUAAUCUGACGCGAGUCCAUCCAUAAGCGAUAAAUCUUUCAAAAUUCUAUGAUGCCAUAAAAUUUCAAUAUGCGGUAUUAGUCCUCGUUUCCAAGGAUUAUCCCCUCUUAUGGGCAGGUUACUCACGCGUUACUCGCCCGUCCGCCACUUUCCACCCAACAGUUCACCCCGAAGGGAUCACAAAUGGGUUUCUCGUUCGACUUGCAUGUGUUAGGCACGCCGCCAGCGUCGUCUGUAGCCACGAGUACAAACUACUCUGUACG